UACGUAGGUGGCAAGCGUUGUCCGGAUUUAUUGGGCGUAAAGAGCGUGUAGGCGGCCAAGCAGGUCAGCUGUGAAAACUCGAGGCUCAACCUCGAGACGUCGGUUGAAACCGCUUGGCUAGAGUCCGGAAGAGGAGAGUGGAAUUCCCGGUGUAGCGGUGAAAUGCGCAGAUAUCGGGAAGAACACCCGUGGCGAAGGCGGCUCUCUGGGACGGUACUGACGCUGAGACGCGAAAGCGUGGGGAGCGAACAGG
rnacentral:rRNA from 1 species